UGUGCUAUUAUCAGUGACCGG
rnacentral:misc_RNA from 1 species